UGAGUAACGCGUGGGUAACCUGCCCUUAAGUCUGGGAUACCAUUGUAACAGAUGCUAAUACCGGAUAAAAGCUACUUUCGCAUGAAAGAAGUUUAAAAGGCGUCGUAAGCUGUCGCUAAAGGAUGGACCUGCGAUGCAUUAGCUAGUUGGUAAGGUAACGGCUUACCAAGGCGAUGAUGCAUAGCCGAGUUGAGAGACUGAUCGGCCACAUUGGGACUGAGACACGGCCCAAACUCCUACGGGAGGCAGCAGGC
rnacentral:rRNA from 1 species